CGGGCGGGCGCGGGCUCCGGCGGGGGGUGCGUGAAGGCCGACUGGACUCUGAUGACAUGGAGGUUGCGGGACAGGGCUUCAGACCCUGGCUUCUCCCCAGUGGGAGAAAGGAGACCCUGGCGUGUGGGUGCUGAGUGCAACACCCAACUGUAGCCUAAGGGAAAGUAGGGUAACCUGCAGGAUAGAUGCAUUAAAGCUUUACUGCAGAAGGAUCCGAGUGUUCUGUGUCAUUCUUGCUGGCGAGACGAUCGCGCGGGACAUCUGGUGCCGAAACCCAGGAACUUGUUGACAUCGCCGGCGCCGCGGGAGACCCCUCGGAGGACGGGGCGGAUUCAGAACUGCAGGGAGGCCUCUUUGACCCUGAACACAUGAGAUAUGACAUCUACUCAGGACCCUACUCAGGACCCUUCCAUGGUAGAGAUUUUAGAGUAUGACAUUUAACAACAAAAAAGUGUUUUAUGACAGACAGACAUGCCAGAUUCUGACUGCACCCUGUAUCUCCUCCAAAAAAAAUGGAUGGCUGCAGAAAAACUUCCACCUGGAGGCCUGCUUUGGAUGUGACAAAGCCAGUCACAUAGCCUUUCACCUCUACUGCCUAGUCCCCGCCUGGAUUGGACAACAGGAUGCUGAGGGAACUGAUCGUCUCAUCCAGCCAAGACAGUAUAUCUUUCAGGUUCACUCAUCCUGCCUUGGUCAAGGCCAGGCCAUAGAGGGUCCUCCAGAUAAUGCCAGCACCUUCAUUAGCUCCUGAGACUUCACCAUUUGUACCACCUCUACAAGCUCAAAUGGGCACCUACCCAACAACUGAAAUCUGGUUUUAAAGGUCAUACCCCCCUCAUGUCUCCCUUGCCUCUUCUGUACAACCAGGAUACUUCUCCAUUCCAUUCACUCUGGCAGUUGUCACCUCUCCCAUGGCUAGCCCCAUACAUAGGGCCAAUGAUAACAAUCUACUUUUUUCUCCUUGGAACCUGCCUUCUCAGCUCCCUCAAGAAACAGACGCCUGAGGUCUACAGGCUGGCAGUUAACUGAAAACUUCUCCACCCAUACCUCCUGCUGAAUGUGAGCUCACCUACUCCAGACUUUCUCCCUCCCCACAUGGUCCCUUGUCAGCAGGAAGAAGCCAGAUUUAAACCGACGCCCCUAUACCCAAGGAGUCUGGGAUGUUUAGGUGGAAGCCAUACUGGCUUUACAAAGAGGUUGGAAUGGUUGGUAGCCCUGUCCCAAACCCGCCCUCAAAGUGCCAAGGGUGGUGUCCACUCCCUCACUUCAGUCCAGACUCCACCCCUAAAAUCCUAACCCAUCCUUCUAUUGGUGGCUCCACCCCCGGAGAGCAUUAAAAGCCCCCACCUCUGGAUUCACCUUGUGGUUUCUUGUUUUCUGUUCCCCUGGGGCCACCCAGGAAUUCUUUGCUCAGAUUAAACUUUGAUUUAUU
rnacentral:lncRNA from 1 species